rnacentral:tRNA from 2 species
AGCCGAUGGAGGGACUCGAACCCACGACCUGCUGAUUACAAAUCAGCUGCUCUAGCCAGCUGAGCUACAUCGGC